rnacentral:rRNA from 1 species
AGAGUUUGAUCCUGGCUCAGGAUGAACGCUGGCGGCGUGCUUAACACAUGCAAGUCGAACGAAGCACUCUAUUUGAUUUUCUUCGGAAAUGAAGAUUUUGUGACUGAGUGGCGGACGGGUGAGUAACGCGUGGGUAACCUGCCUCAUACAGGGGGAUAACAGUUAGAAAUGGCUGCUAAUACCGCAUAAGCACACAGCUUCGCAUGGAGCAGUGUGAAAAACUCCGGUGGUAUGAGAUGGACCCGCGUCUGAUUAGCUAGUUGGUAAGGUAACGGCUUACCAAGGCGACGAUCAGUAGCCGACCUGAGAGGGUGACCGGCCACAUUGGGACUGAGACACGGCCCAAACUCCUACGGGAGGCAGCAGUGGGGAAUAUUGCACAAUGGGGGAAACCCUGAUGCAGCGACGCCGCGUGAGCGAAGAAGUAUUUCGGUAUGUAAAGCUCUAUCAGCAGGGAAGAAAAUGACGGUACCUGACUAAGAAGCCCCGGCUAACUACGUGCCAGCAGCCGCGGUAAUACGUAGGGGGCAAGCGUUAUCCGGAUUUACUGGGUGUAAAGGGAGCGUAGACGGCGGAGCAAGUCUGAAGUGAAAGCCCGGGGCUCAACCCCGGGACUGCUUUGGAAACUGUUCUGCUAGAGUGCCGGAGAGGUAAGUGGAAUUCCUAGUGUAGCGGUGAAAUGCGUAGAUAUUAGGAGGAACACCAGUGGCGAAGGCGGCUUACUGGACGGUAACUGACGUUGAGGCUCGAAAGCGUGGGGAGCAAACAGGAUUAGAUACCCUGGUAGUCCACGCCGUAAACG